rnacentral:rRNA from 1 species
AUUGAACGCUGGCGGCAGGCCUAACACAUGCAAGUCGAACGCGUGGCGGACGGGUGAGUAAUGUCUGGGAUACUGCUGGAUGGAGGGGGAUAACUACUUGAAACGGUAGCUAAUACCGCAUACCAUCAGAUGUGCCGAGGUGGGAUUAGCUUGCUGGUGGGGUAUCGGAUCACCAACGCGACGAUCACUAGCUGGUCUGAGAGGAUGACCAGCCACACUGGAACUGAGACACGGUCCAGACUCCUACGGGAGGCAGAAGUGGGGAAUAUUGCACAAUGUGCGCAAGCCUGAUGCAGCCAUGCCGCGUGUAUGGAGAAGGCCUUCGAGUUGUAAAGUAAUUUCAGCGGGGAGGCGUUACCCGCAGAAGAAGCACCGGCUAACUCCGUGCCAGCAGCCGCGGUAAUUC